UACGGGGGGGGCAAGCGUUGUUCGGAAUUACUGGGCGUAAAGGGCUCGUAGGUGGCCAAUUAAGUCAGACGUGAAAUCCCUCGGCUUAACCGGGGAACUGCGUCUGAUACUGGAUGGCUAGAGUUUGGGAGAGGGAUGCGGAAUUCCAGGUGUAGCGGUGAAAUGCGUAGAUAUCUGGAGGAACACCGGUGGCGAAGGCGGCAUCCUGGACCAACACUGACGCUGAGGAGCGAAAGCCAGGGGAGCAAACGGG
rnacentral:rRNA from 1 species